rnacentral:lncRNA from 1 species
AUGGUUCUGGUUAGGACACCGAAGGGGGUGGAGUUAGGGGAGCUGCUACCUGUCCGCAGCACAGGCCCCGCCACUGGGGUCGGAAGUGGGCCCAGUGCUGCACUGGGGAGGCCGGGACGCUCCGGAGCACCCCAUCACUCCGUAGAGCACCCCAUCAUCCUGUGGAGCACCCCAUCACUCUGUAGAGCACCCCAUCAUCAUCCCAGGGAGCACCCCAUCACCCUGUGGAGCACCCCAUCACUCUGUGGGGCACCCCAUCAUCAUCCCAGAGAGCACCCCAUCAUCCCAGGGAGCACCCCAUCAUCAUCCCAGGGAGCACCCCAUCAUCCUGUGGAGUACCCCAUCACUCCGUGGAGCACCCCGUCAUCCCGUGGAGCACCCCAUCACUCUGUGGGGCACCCCAUCAUCAUCCCAGAGAGCACCCCAUCAUCCCAGGGAGCACCCCAUCAUCCUGUGGAGCACCCCAUCACUCUGUGGGGCACCCCAUCAUCAUCCCAGAGAGCAACCCAUCAUCCCAGGGAGCACCCCAUCAUCAUCCCAGGGAGCACCCCAUCAUCCUGUGGAGUACCCCAUCACUCCGUGGAGCACCCCAUCAUCCCGUGGAGCACCCCAUCACUCUGUGGGGCACCCCAUCAUCCCGUGGAGCACCCCAUCAUCAUCCCAGAGAGCAACCCAUCAUCCCAGAGAGCACCCCAUCAUCCCAGGGAGCACCCCAUCAUCCUGUGGAGCACCCCAUCACUCUGUGGGGCACCCCAUCAUCCCAGGGAGCACCCCAUCACUCUGUGGGGCACCCCGUCAUCCCGUGGAGCGCCCCAUCAUCAUCCCAGGGAGCACCCCAUCAUCCUGUGGAGCACCCCAUCACUCUGUGGGGCACCCCAUCAUCCCAGGGAGCACCCCAUCAUCAUCCCAGGGAGCACCCCAUCACUCCGUGGAGCACCCCGCCAUCCCGUGGAGCACAACUCCGCCUUUUAUAUCAGCUACAUCGUCAUGAUGGGUCUGGGUGAGCAAGCCGUGACAAGUACUUUGGAGGCCCAGUGA